rnacentral:rRNA from 1 species
UACGGAGGGUGCAAGCGUUGUUCGGAAUCACUGGGCGUAAAGCGCGUGUAGGCGGCCCAUUAAGUCUGAUGUGAAAGCCCGGGGCUCACCCCCGGAAGUGCAUUGGAAACUGAUGGACUCGAGUCCCGGAGAGGAGGGUGGAAUUCCUGGUGUAGCGGUGAAAUGCGUAGAUAUCAGGAGGAACACCGGUGGCGAAGGCGGCCCUCUGGACGGUGACUGACGCUGAGACGCGAAAGCAUGGGGAGCGAACAGG